GCCAAAGCUCUCAAAUAAAAAAAUAAAACACAAGUCCUAGAUUUUUAACUUUACUCACAAAAGUUUCUUAACGAAAAACGUUGAGCAUUUUCCGUAGAUCGUUAAUCUAUCUUUGCAUGUUGGAUCAAGAUUCGACAAGUUGUCGAGCUAUCGGGUCGGAGGACCAAGGGAAUUAACGGAGUUGUUUAAAGGAGCAUUGACGGAGUAAUACCGUAGUUAAACGGUUUCUGUUCGUUACCUGUCUUUUGGACGAGACUUCACUUUAAUUGCUUCUCGAAGUCUCCUCAUUUGAAUUGUGGUAUUUUUGUUCAGUAGCGCUACAGUAGUAGUUAUCCGCAGUAGAUUAGUAUAGUCUUAUUGUAUUCAAAUGUUUUAAAGCGCAUUUAAACUCUGAUGUUUUGUCCCAUCAGUUAUUUAAUAAAUGUUUCAUACAUUUCUAUUUUCAAAGCGAAAAAUUUAUAGUGUUUUUUUUCAGGCUUGCUACGGGUUUCGGAGCAACCACUCCCAUUCCCUAGCGCCGGUCUCGACUCGAGAUUUCGGGUCGUGACAAAGGUGGUAUCAGAGCAGUUGGUCCAGUUACCUCUGCUAAUAUGGGAAUUGAGUGCAGUUGGUCAGAGAUACCACUGUUAGUCUGUGUAGAUGUUGUGUGUACCUAGGAGCAAUAUACAAUGUCACUAGGUUAAGUUAGGAACUAUUGCGGAUAAUAGGAUUUCCAGUCAUGUCUUUUAAACGUUUUCAUCGUUUUCAUCGGUUUUUCAAAUGA